CAGAUAUUUCAUUUGCAUGAUUUCAGGCCAGACUAUUUGAUGCAAUGGUUCCUUUCUAUAAUCAACAGGUUCAUAUCUGAGUUGGUGUGAAUUAUUUUCCUGUAAGGGGGAGCCAAGAAGUUCCACUGAACCAUGGGUGAUGACAAGUUGAGAAGAUUGGAUCCACAGAACUGGGACUGGAAAUUAUCAACUGGGAAAAUCUAAUCCAGCUUGACUGAUGACUGGAAGGAACAGGGUGGGACAAAACAGUCCCCCUUUCAGGAUGACUUCCCCCUAUCAAUCUGCAAACCGUAGAAAGAGAAAGACAGCAAACCUGGAAAAUAUAAAUCUCAUCUUGGAAGUUGGCAUUUGA
rnacentral:lncRNA from 1 species